rnacentral:lncRNA from 1 species
AAAAAAUAGUAGUAAUUAAUAUUAAUAAUUUAAUUCUCAUACUUGUUAAAGUAGGAAACAUAUAUUUUAAAAGCUAUGGCUAUAGCAAAUGAAAAAUCCAGCCUAAUUUCCUUUUUAGAUUGGGAGGCAUCUCAUCACAAAGGCAUGAAAAGUUAAUUUCUGCUUCAUUAUAAAUUACUGUGAUUUGUAAACUUGCUUGAAAUGCCUGUCAGUGCCUUGAACUCACCCAUGUCUGGUUUUCCCUGAUAACAACCCUCCCUGAAACUUUAGUGAUGACUCAUGAAUUCUGGCUUUCCCUGACCAAAUAACAACUCAUUCUGAAACUUUAUUGGGGCCUCAUAAAUUCUGAUGUUGUGAUCUAAAUUUACUCCCUAAGUGCUAAACCAUUUACACCAUUAACCUACUACGUGCUUGUGAAAAUCCUGUUAUUCGUGUAAGUUUUCAAGACACCCCACUUUUGUAACUUUUUGUGCUAUAAAACUACAGUCCUAGAGAACUGGAGUUCUGUCUUCUUUUCUCAUGGGUUUCAGGAAAGACUGUUAUGCUCAAAUGCGGGACCCCCAAAGGACCACCAGAGACCAAGAUCCAUGUAAGCACCAAAGAGGUGUUUAUUGCAAGCUAGCUCAGUCCCCCCCACACACAGCAACUGGAGGCUUAGAGGCCCUGAUCCCGGGGUUUUCAGCAGUUUUAUAACUCUUUGGGGAAGGUAGGUACCCCACAUGCAUCAUAACAUCUCUUAUAAUAUCAUCACACUCCUUUGGAAAAUCAUAAACAACUCUAAACAAGAUUAGCACAUUCACUGGUGGGAACAAGUUGGGUAAGCAUGAUUGGUUAGUAGAAGAUGGGGAUUCAUUUGAACAGAUUGGCUUAGGACAUGAGGGGAGUAUAUGCUGAACUAUAUGGUUUCCCAAAAUGUUAUCAACCACCAUAAACUACUGGAAGGGUCAUUUGGAAUCCCAGGAAUUUUCCUUGUCUCAUGCUGAUUGGUGGCUGCUAAGGGGUUGCUAUGGAUCCCCACCUCGCCAGACUGAGUCAGGGACACCAGGCACAGCAUAUCUCUCCUGUUAUUUGUAGAUAAACAACUCAGCAGGGUGGGUAUGAGCCUAGGAGUGCUCUUUGUGUCUUUCCAAGGACAAGAGUCAUGCCCCCUUCCUUAGACAGUCUUUGCUCUGAGGUAGAGGCUGGUUUCUCACCUUUUACCUUAUGUUUUUUCAUGUAUUUUUUUAGCUGUAGCUGGACACAAUAUCUUUAUUUCACUUAUUUAUUUUUAUGUGGUACUGAGGACUGAAACCAGGAUUUUGCACAGGGGUGGUGAGCACUCUACUGCUGAGCCACAAUCCCAGCCCCUUAUGUGUUGUUUUUAUUGGGCAUUUUUACUUUAGGGGUUUUCUUCCCAGUUCAAAGUUCAAUCUGUCACCUAAAAAGAACAGAGAUCAAAAAAUAAAUAAAUAAAAUUUGAUAAUUAUUGUCAUUAUUUUAUAUUAAUUCCUGAAUAAUGUACAUGCACAUAUAAUCCAUAAACUGAAAUGACUUUAUAUGUAAGUUUAAAUGAAAAUGUUCUGUUGGUUGGGUUAGUUCCCACUUAUGGGAAAACAACCUUGCCUUAAAAUAACAGCAGCCUGAGACUCUGGGGUACAUUUCUCAGAGUUAAAAAACAGGACUCAAUGACCUGAAAUUCUAGCCCUUAUUCGUGCCUGGAUUGGAUAAUAUUCCCUGUCACUCAAAAAAAGGGUUCACUUCUCUCAGAUUCAAUGUUCAUGAUCUGAAGCCCCUUCCAAUCAAGAGCAUUUUGUGGGAACUGUCCAAUCAUGCGUGUCAUCAGGGAGGAGAAGGGCAGGCUUUCACUUCUUAUCUUCUGAGUCCUCCAUUUUUGCCCUCUGUAGUCUCAUACUUCAGAGUCACAGGUUGUUCUGCUGUGUAGGAACUGAGGAUUCAAAGUGGUCCUACUCCUGAGAACCAGGAAAUGGUAAGUGUGCAUUGGCCUAGCAAGGGAGGCUGGGGGAAGAAGACUAUUGGAACCACAAGACUGGCUGUGUUGAAAACAGGAGCUAGCAGAUUGGGACUCUGGGCAAUCUCUUGAUUCUGCAGACUUAACUCCUCCACUUGGCCACUAUGUCCUCAGUCUUACUGGCCAACCAGGUGGGGAAUAUGUCAGUGGCAGAAACUCUUUUCUGCCUUCCUUAUGCUCAAAGGGCAUCCUCAGAAUCUGCAUAAAAUACUAUGUGGUAGGUGUGUUCCUGCAGCCCAGUAUCUUUCCAGAUGCUGGAGAUUGAUAGGUGGAAUAAUUAUCAACAUCAAAUCUGCAAAGUCCAUUUUCCUGCAGAAGAGGAGCUGUCAUUUUGGCGUACCUAAUUUCCUUUUGAGCUAGCUAAUUUUCAUUUUGACAUUCUUUUAUUUUUACUUUCUUCAUUAUUAUUAUUUUGUUAAAGUUAGGUGAACUCAGGGAUACUGUACAACUUAGCCAUAUCCUUGGUAGUGAAGCCAGAUUUACAGAUAGGUAGUUAGUGUAGUUAGGUAAAUUUGGACUAAUAUCCAGUAAAAUCAAGAAUCAACACCAUAUUGAGAAUGGAGUCCAGGAUAAGGGGAAUUGAAAAUGUUCCCAAGGCCCUGAGCCCAUCCAAAGGAAAUUUUAAUGAAGCAGCUCACAGCAAACAUGAAGAUGCUAAUCCAAAAGCCCUUCCUGCCCAGAUUACUCCUUGAGCCCACCUGUCCUCUACACUUUGGGUCUUCCCACCUACACUCCAACACUGCAAGGUAACAGAACAAAGGACACCAAUGUGACAGGAAUGCGGGAUAGCUGAAGGGAGACAUUAGUUAUAAAAAAUCUAAAAAGACCUUAGUUAAAAAAAAAAAAUCCCUAUCAUGGAUUCUACCUCUUUGGUCCCCUUUUUCUUCUGGGGAGAAGUCUUUUCUACUGUCCUUUAAUAAAGCUUCUACUUUCCACUCUAAACUUGCCUUGGUGCACUUCUCUGGUGUUAUACUUCAGCAUUGGGGAAGCAAGGACUCUUCACCAGUAAACAGCCCUAACAGUUUUAAAUUUGAGAAAGGCCCUAGCUAAGUUGCUGAGAUUAUUUUUGUUAUGGUUUGAUUUAUCUAGAAUUUGCUAUUGCAAUAAAGCAUACUGUUUUUACAUACAUAUGUAUUCAUAUGGAGAUCUUAUUUAUAUUGUGAUUCUUUAUUAUUGUAAUAUUAUAAUUUCACAAUAUAUAUGAAUAGUAGGCCAUGAUAAGUUCUUUUUUUGCUCUUAUAAUUAAAAAGGUUUUUGGCUAAAGUUACAUAUAACUUUGUAGAUGAAUUUUAAACAUUUAUGCUUUGCUUUCUUACUUUAUUUAAAGUAAAACUUGAUAAUUUUUUUGUAUUAUUGCAUUAUUGUUGUAUUUAAUAGGUUUAUUUUGACAUAACCAUAAAACGUGAAAUAUAAUUUGCUCCCCUUCAGUAUCCAGUAGUUCCCCUUUCCCUAUUCUCCUACUUUCUUCUAUCAUAUAUUUAUUUAUAGGUUUUUUAAUUAUUGCUUUAUAGAAUACACAUAAAAGUAGACUUCACUGUGAUAUAUUCAUAUUUGUACAUAGUAGUUUUGGUGAGAUAUAUUGUUGGUUAAUUUGGGGGAAAAUUAUCACCUUU